UAUUCAGGUGAAAAGGAAAAAUGAUUCUUCAACAAGUGAAGACAGAGGAAGUAUGAGAGAAAGUCCCGAUGUGAAUGGAGAGGACACGGGACAGCCGAAAUCUCAGAAAAUCAGACGGAAACACAGUCGGCCACAUGUGCUGGACAGUGAUGAUGAAGAGGAUGUUCAAGAACUGAGCGAUGAAACCAAUGAUCAUGAAAAAGACGUCGCUGACAAAGCGACCAUAAUUACGUCAGACGAAGAGAGUGAUGUACAGACCAACGGAGUGUGUGUUCGAUUGGAAAAAGAAAACAUGUUUGAGAAGGAAAUUGAUUUAACCUCGCAAAC
rnacentral:lncRNA from 1 species